UGGCUCAGUGGAUAGAGCAUCAGCCUGUGGACUGAAGGGUCCCAGGUUCGAUUCCUGG
rfam:Myotis lucifugus cont2.17983, whole genome shotgun sequence.